GUCCUAUUGUUUAUUUAGUAGGUCUGGCCUGCCCAGUGAUAUUUUUUAACGGCCGCGGUAUACUGACCGUGCAAAGGUAGCAUAAUCAUUAGUCUUUUAAUAGAAGGCUGGAAUGAAAGGUCUAACGAGAAAUUGACUGUCUCAAUUAUAAAUUUGAACUUAUCUUUUUAGUCAAAAGACUGAAAUUUAAUUGGUGGACGAGAAGACCCUAUAGAGCUUAACAAUUUUUUUUUAUUUAUUUAUUUAGAUUUAAAUUAUUUAUUUAAAUAGGAAAAACUGUUUUGUUGGGGUGACAAUAAAUAUAUAUUUAACUUUUAUCAUAAUAUAAACAUUAAUUUAUGAGUUUUGGAUCCAAACCUUUUGAUCAUUAGUUCAAGUUACC
rnacentral:rRNA from 1 species